CAUGGUUAAGCAAAAAGGCAAAAGUGAUUGCCAACUGAAAUGGCAAUACAACAACCAAGAAUUCCAUUACACAGAAAAUUUUAUGCCCUUUAAGGCCUCUACAUCACAUAAUCCCCACCAUUAUCUAAAAAUGAGAAUCAAAUACUACUACAACUACAGAAAAGAGAAGAAGCUUUAGGAGCUGCAAACAGAAACUCGAGCUUCGUCGAAAUUGCUUCUGUCAGCAUAGGAAAAUUUUAAACUAGGAAAAAUUUCUUUAUCGAAAUUCUCCCAUUUUACUCAAAAAGUUUUCAAGAAUUAAGAUUUUGCUAAAAAGUUUUUCAACCUCUCAGGCUUCCCCUUCCACCAAAAUAAUUGGGUUAUUUGUAGAAAGGAGAUGAAGUAUAAAUUGGGUCUUUGGGUGACGUGGGAGAAACAAUUCUUGAAUCCAAUGGCUAAAAAUUAAUAAAAAAGAUGAAUAAUAAUCAACCCUCGUUCGUCAUCAACUGUACGACAAAGGAAUAUGAGUGAUGUGUGUCCUUUUCUACAACAAUCCACGAAUUUUAUUAUAAUGUUUUGGGGGAAAUUUUGAGAGGGUUUUUUAAUUUGAAAGCGGGAUAAGAUUAACUUGAGUUAGGGGUUCAUACUAUCUGCUUCUGCAAGGCACGUUGAUGUAUGAACGACAGAGUUGAUAGUGAAAUGAGGGCCGUAUGAACAAAGCUGCUACUGCUUCAUUGUCGUUGUUGAUUGAUUAAGUCGAUUAAAGGGGAAGGAGAAACAGGUUAAGAACAUAAAGAAUGUCGUAGGCUUGGAUCGGGUCACGUGAUUGUGAAUUUAUCGGGAAUUGCAUGUUAUAGAUGCAAAUAUGGGUGAGUUUAGAUAUAAGUAUCAUUUUAUUUUUCUACACCUUAAAUAUAUUUUUUAAACUUUGCAUACUUAUUUUUUUCUCAAAUUUUAUUUUUUAUUAUUUUCACUUUUUAUUUUAAUUUUAUUUCUU
rnacentral:lncRNA from 1 species